GAACUGUUGCUGGAGUAACUGCAUACUCCUCCCCGUCAUAGGAAAACACAAUUGAUGGUGAUCCAUCUGCACCACCAUUGUCAUAUGUACCCGACCUCCAAAAGCUGAUGAUUUGGCUUCCUGAAAGUCUUGCAGGAGCGGUGAGAGCUGUACCGAUGACACUCUGUGCCAAGAAUCGCUGAAAGGGAUGAUAAUCCCUUGGGGCUUCAGCAGUAUCAAGGAUGGCUGCAUAGUUGUUGGGAACAAAUUCAACACCUGCCAAGAUAAAAGCUGUAGUGGCCAUUAUAUCAGAGAUUGUGUUUGAGAAAAUGUGUGUGAGAAGAUUUGAAUAUUAGAGAGAAGAGAGCAAGAGUGUGUUGAGAGAGUAUGUGUAAGUGAAGAAGUGAAUAAGUGUAUAAGUGAAUGAUAAGAAAUAAAAUCUGAAGUGAAAAACUCUUCAGAUUUUGUUUCACUGAACACGCAUGAGCUGUUUGUUCACUUGGACACCUGUCACAAUACAACUGGUUGAUGAAAGUUAGUGGGAUGGAGAAACGAUAUUAGUAAUCAUGAGUGCAGUAAAACACGCGCAGUAAUAAAGGCUGAUUACACGUUCUCCUAUUAAAAUGUUUUUCAUGUAAACCCACUAACAAUACACCCGUUUGAAAAUACUCUCUUCACAUUCUCUGAAUAUUUGAACUCCUGAAAUGUACAAGAUUUAAAAAAAUCAAGAACAAUUCACUCGAAUUUUAAACUCUGAGAUUUAAAUCAUAGAAAAUAAAUUUCUAAAUACCUCAGAAUAAAAACAUAAGUGUCAGAAUAUUCAUCAAUAAAUCAGAGUUUGUUCUAAAAUCCAUAGCUCAAUAAUGUGCUUGUGAAAUCUGUGUGUGGACAUGUGAAAUCAGAGAAUAUAAAAUUUCACAAUUUCGUAAUUAUAAGGUAGACAAAAAUAAUUUAUGCAAGCUCUCAAAAUUUAGACUGGGACAUACUCUGAUGAAAACAAUAAAAUAAUAUAACCCCCUUUUUUUUUUUUUUUUUUUUUUUUUUUUUUUUUUUUUUCAGGACGCUUCUCAGUGUAAGUGAGGCACGACCUUUAAAUAUAAUAUGGCAUUGGUAUUUCUCCAGUAAUCAGAGAAUGUGACUGGUCACCAUAGAUUAUAAAAUCUUAGCAAUUACUUAAUACCAGCAAAUGUUUGGUUCUUCCCAGUCACUGUCAUCUAAGAUCUCAAAGGAGUACCAUGCUUAUUCUUCAGGGGGUUUUGUCUCAGGGUAACAAAACAUCAGAGUUUAUAAUCACUGUCUAAUAUAUGAGAGAAAAUUCAAAUUAAUCAGUCUCACUUAUAAUUAAGAUAUGUGAAGUAGUAGAGUCUCAAUGAUAUCAGCAUGCAUAGUGUGAACUAAUGCAGCACAAAAUUG
rnacentral:lncRNA from 1 species